GUCUUUGACCAUCCCACACUGAAUGCACCAGACCUUGUUUGAUCUCGGAAGAUAAGCAGGGUCGGGUCUGAUGAGUACUUGGAUGAGAGAAUUCCCUAACUUUUGAAAUU
rnacentral:rRNA from 1 species